rnacentral:rRNA from 1 species
UCAAAGCCAUAUUACCCUGCAGCCCAAGACCGGUUACUCACUGAAGCUAAGCAGUGCUGAGCCUGGUCAGUACCUGGAUGGGAGACCACAUGGAAAAACUAGAUCGCCACAUGGG